UAAGCGUACACGGUGGAUGCCCUGGCAGUCAGAGGCGAUGAAGGACGUGCUAAUCUGCGAUAAGCGUCGGUAAGGUGAUAUGAACCGUUAUAACCGGCGAUUUCCGAAUGGGGAAACCCAGUGUGUUUCGACACACUAUCAUUAACUGAAUCCAUAGGUUAAUGAGGCGAACCGGGGGAACUGAAACAUCUAAGUACCCCGAGGAAAAGAAAUCAACCGAGAUUCCCCCAGUAGCGGCGAGCGAACGGGGAGCAGCCCAGAGCCUGAAUCAGUGUGUGUGUUAGUGGAAGCGUCUGGAAAGGCGCGCGAUACAGGGUGACAGCCCCGUACACAAAAAUGCACAUGCUGUGAGCUCGAUGAGUAGGGCGGGACACGUGGUAUCCUGUCUGAAUAUGGGGGGACCAUCCUCCAAGGCUAAAUACUCCUGACUGACCGAUAGUGAACCAGUACCGUGAGGGAAAGGCGAAAAGAACCCCGGCGAGGGGAGUGAAAAAGAACCUGAAACCGUGUACGUACAAGCAGUGGGAGCACGCUUAGGCGUGUGACUGCGUACCUUUUGUAUAAUGGGUCAGCGACUUAUAUUCUGUAGCAAGGUUAACCGAAUAGGGGAGCCGAAGGGAAACCGAGUCUUAACUGGGCGUUAAGUUGCAGGGUAUAGACCCGAAACCCGGUGAUCUAGCCAUGGGCAGGUUGAAGGUUGGGUAACACUAACUGGAGGACCGAACCGACUAAUGUUGAAAAAUUAGCGGAUGACUUGUGGCUGGGGGUGAAAGGCCAAUCAAACCGGGAGAUAGCUGGUUCUCCCCGAAAGCUAUUUAGGUAGCGCCUCGUGAAUUCAUCUCCGGGGGUAGAGCACUGUUUCGGCAAGGGGGUCAUCCCGACUUACCAACCCGAUGCAAACUGCGAAUACCGGAGAAUGUUAUCACGGGAGACACACGGCGGGUGCUAACGUCCGUCGUGAAGAGGGAAACAACCCAGACCGCCAGCUAAGGUCCCAAAGUCAUGGUUAAGUGGGAAACGAUGUGGGAAGGCCCAGACAGCCAGGAUGUUGGCUUAGAAGCAGCCAUCAUUUAAAGAAAGCGUAAUAGCUCACUGGUCGAGUCGGCCUGCGCGGAAGAUGUAACGGGGCUAAACCAUGCACCGAAGCUGCGGCAGCGACGCUGAUGCGUUGUUGGGUAGGGGAGCGUUCUGUAAGCCUGCGAAGGUGUGCUGUGAGGCAUGCUGGAGGUAUCAGAAGUGCGAAUGCUGACAUAAGUAACGAUAAAGCGGGUGAAAAGCCCGCUCGCCGGAAGACCAAGGGUUCCUGUCCAACGUUAAUCGGGGCAGGGUGAGUCGACCCCUAAGGCGAGGCCGAAAGGCGUAGUCGAUGGGAAACAGGUUAAUAUUCCUGUACUUGGUGUUACUGCGAAGGGGGGACGGAGAAGGCUAUGUUGGCCGGGCGACGGUUGUCCCGGUUUAAGCGUGUAGGCUGGUUUUCCAGGCAAAUCCGGAAAAUCAAGGCUGAGGCGUGAUGACGAGGCACUACGGUGCUGAAGCAACAAAUGCCCUGCUUCCAGGAAAAGCCUCUAAGCAUCAGGUAACAUCAAAUCGUACCCCAAACCGACACAGGUGGUCAGGUAGAGAAUACCAAGGCGCUUGAGAGAACUCGGGUGAAGGAACUAGGCAAAAUGGUGCCGUAACUUCGGGAGAAGGCACGCUGAUAUGUAGGUGAAGCGACUUGCUCGUGGAGCUGAAAUCAGUCGAAGAUACCAGCUGGCUGCAACUGUUUAUUAAAAACACAGCACUGUGCAAACACGAAAGUGGACGUAUACGGUGUGACGCCUGCCCGGUGCCGGAAGGUUAAUUGAUGGGGUCAGCGCAAGCGAAGCUCUUGAUCGAAGCCCCGGUAAACGGCGGCCGUAACUAUAACGGUCCUAAGGUAGCGAAAUUCCUUGUCGGGUAAGUUCCGACCUGCACGAAUGGCGUAAUGAUGGCCAGGCUGUCUCCACCCGAGACUCAGUGAAAUUGAACUCGCUGUGAAGAUGCAGUGUACCCGCGGCAAGACGGAAAGACCCCGUGAACCUUUACUAUAGCUUGACACUGAACAUUGAGCCUUGAUGUGUAGGAUAGGUGGGAGGCUUGGAAGUGUGGACGCCAGUCUGCAUGGAGCCGACCUUGAAAUACCACCCUUUAAUGUUUGAUGUUCUAACGUUGACCCGUAAUCCGGGUUGCGGACAGUGUCUGGUGGGUAGUUUGACUGGGGCGGUCUCCUCCUAAAGAGUAACGGAGGAGCACGAAGGUUGGCUAAUCCUGGUCGGACAUCAGGAGGUUAGUGCAAUGGCAUAAGCCAGCUUGACUGCGAGCGUGACGGCGCGAGCAGGUGCGAAAGCAGGUCAUAGUGAUCCGGUGGUUCUGAAUGGAAGGGCCAUCGCUCAACGGAUAAAAGGUACUCCGGGGAUAACAGGCUGAUACCGCCCAAGAGUUCAUAUCGACGGCGGUGUUUGGCACCUCGAUGUCGGCUCAUCACAUCCUGGGGCUGAAGUAGGUCCCAAGGGUAUGGCUGUUCGCCAUUUAAAGUGGUACGCGAGCUGGGUUUAGAACGUCGUGAGACAGUUCGGUCCCUAUCUGCCGUGGGCGCUGGAGAACUGAGGGGGGCUGCUCCUAGUACGAGAGGACCGGAGUGGACGCAUCACUGGUGUUCGGGUUGUCAUGCCAAUGGCACUGCCCGGUAGCUAAAUGCGGAAGAGAUAAGUGCUGAAAGCAUCUAAGCACGAAACUUGCCCCGAGAUGAGUUCUCCCUGACUCCUUGAGAGUCCUGAAGGAACGUUGAAGACGACGACGUUGAUAGGCCGGGUGUGUAAGCGCAGCGAUGCGUUGAGCUAACCGGUACUAAUGAACCGUGAGGCUUAACC
rnacentral:rRNA from 1 species